AAGAAGUUUGUGCAGGUUUUUCUGUAAGAUGUUAUAGAAAACCCAAAUGAACUUCUUUGG
ensembl:miRNA